UUAGUUACCAGCACGUUAUGGUGGGCACUCUAAGGAGACUGCCGGUGACAAACCGGAGGAAGGUGGGGAUGACGUCAAGUCAUCAUGGCCCUUACGGCCAGGGCUACACACGUGCUACAAUGGUCGGUACAGAGGGUUGCCAAGCCGCGAGGUGGAGCUAAUCCCAUAAAACCGAUCGUAGUCCGGAUCGCAGUCUGCAACUCGACUGCGUGAAGUCGGAAUCGCUAGUAAUCGUGAAUCAGAAUGUCACGGUGAAUACGUUCCCGGGCCUUGUACACACCGCCCGUCACACCAUGGGAGUGGGUUGCUCCAGAAGUAGCUAGUCUAACCGCAAGGGGGACGGUUACCACGGAGUGAUUCAUGACUGGGGUGAAGUCGUAACAAGG
rnacentral:rRNA from 1 species